rnacentral:rRNA from 1 species
UACGAAGGGGGCUAGCGUUGUUCGGAUUUACUGGGCGUAAAGCGCACGUAGGCGGAUUGUUAAGUCGGGGGUGAAAUCCUGGAGCUCAACUCCAGAAUUGCCUUCGAUACUGGCUUUCUAGAGGCUGGAAGAGGUUAGUGGAAUUCCCAGUGUAGAGGCGAAAUUCGUAGAUAUUGGGAAGAACACCAGUGGCGAAGGCGGCUAACUGGUCCAGAUCUGACGCUGAGGUGCGAAAGCGUGGGGAGCAAACAGG